CCAAGGAGUUUAUCGUGUGCGCGAGUCAUUGGGCGUUGAAAACCCAAAGGCGCAAUGAAAGUGAAUGCUCCGCAAGGAGCUUACGUGCGAUCCUGGGCACCGCGGUGUCCGGGCGCAGCAUGGCCCCAUCCUGACUGCUUGCAGUGGGGUGCGGAAGAGCGUACGCGGUGAGACCCGAAAGAUGGUGAACUAUUCCUGAGCAGGAUGAAGCCAGAGGAAACUCUGGUGGAAGUCCGAAGCGAUUCUGACGUGCAAAUCGAUCGUCUGACUUGGUAUAGGGGCGAAAGACUAAUCGAAC
rnacentral:rRNA from 1 species